GUGCUUUUUACAUGCAUGUAUUUUGUAGUUCACAUUUACAAUACAUUUCAAUAAGAUAUAAAUACUUAAAAUACGAAUGGUCAAGUUUACGGUUAAGUCCUUACCUGGUUAGUUAGAUAUAUUGUUUUAGAUAAAAUGUAGAAUAUAAUAAAGUCAACUAUUUACUAGCGUUCAAAUCCCAAAAGUGCACUCCCCCAAACCCUAAGUCUUAC
rnacentral:lncRNA from 1 species